CCCUUAGACGUUCUGGGCCGCACGCGCGCUACACUGACCAGUGCAACAAGCAUCCGUCCUUGGCCGACAGGCCCGGGCAAUCUUUGAACGCUGGUCGUGAUGGGGAUAGACUUUUGCAAUUUUUGGUCUUCAACGAGGAAUUCCUAGUAAACGCAAGUCAUCAACUUGCAUUGAUUACGUCCCUGCCCUUUGUACACACCGCCCGUCGCACCUACCGAUUGAAUGGUCCGGUGAAGCCUCCGGAUUGGCGCGCACCUCGGUGCCGCCGAGAAGUUGGCUAAACCUUACCAUUUAGAGGAAGGCGAANUCGUANCA
rnacentral:rRNA from 1 species